rnacentral:rRNA from 1 species
CACGUAGGGGGCAAGCGUUGUCCGGAUUUAUUGGGCGUAAAGAGCUCGUAGGCGGCUUAGUAAGUCGGGUGUGAAACCUCCAGGCUCAACCUGGAGACGCCACCCGAUACUGCUGUGGCUAGAGUCCGGUAGGGGAGCGUGGAAUUCCUGGUGUAGCGGUGAAAUGCGCAGAUAUCAGGAGGAACACCGGUGGCGAAGGCGGCUUGCUGGGCCAGUUCUGACGCUGAGGAGCGAAAGCGUGGGGAGCGAACAGG